rnacentral:rRNA from 1 species
GAUGAACGCUGGCGGCGUGCUUAACACAUGCAAGUCGAGCGAACGGACGAGAAGCUUGCUUUUCUGACGUUAGCGGCGGACGGGUGUGUAACACGUGUAUAACCCACCUAUAAUACUGGUAUAAUUUCGGGAAACCGGAGCUAAUCCCGGAUAAUAUCUUGAACCGUAUGGGUCAAAAGUGAAAGUCGGUCUUGCUGUCUGUUAUCGCUGGAUCUGCGCUGCAUUAGCUAGUUGGUAGGGUAACGGCUUAGCAAGGCAACGAUGCGUAGCCGACGUGAGAGGGUGAUCGGCCACACUGGAGGUGGGACGGGGUCCAGACUACUAAGGGAGGCAGCAGUAGGGAAUCUUCCGCAGUGGGGGGGAACCUUGCGGAAUGGCGGCGCGUGUGUGAUGGAAGUGUUCGGAGCGUAAUGCUCGGUUAUGGGGGAUGAACAUAUGUGGAAGUAGCCGUGGACAUAGUGACGGUACCGGGUCAGGAAGCCACGGCUAACUACGUG